rnacentral:rRNA from 1 species
AGUGAACGCUGGCGGUAGGCCUAACACAUGCAAGUCGAACGGCAGCACAGGAGAGCUUGCUCUCUGGGUGGCGUGUGGCGGACGGGUGAGGAAUACAUCGGAAUCUACUCUGUCGUGGGGGAUAACGUAGGGAAACUUACGCUAAUACCGCAUACGACCUACGGGUGAAAGCAGGGGACCUUCGGGCCUUGCGCGAUUGAAUGAGCCGAUGUCGGAUUAGCUAGUUGGCGGGGUAAAGGCCCACCAAGGCGACGAUCCGUAGCUGGUCUGAGAGGAUGAUCAGCCACACUGGAACUGAGACACGGUCCGGACUCCUACGGGAGGCAGCAGUGGGGAAUAUGGGACAAUGGGCGCAAGCCUGAUCCAGCCAUACCGCGUGGGUGAAGAAGGCCUUCGGGUUGUAAAGCCCUUUUGUUGGGAAAGAAAUCCAGCUGGCUAAUACCCGGUUGGGAUGACGGUACCCAAAGAAUAAGCACCGGCUAACUUCGUGCCAGCAGCCGCCGUAA